NUUGUACUCCCUCCGUCCGAAAAUACUUGUCAUUGAAAUGGAUGUAUCUAGAUGUAUUUUAGUUCUAGACACAUCCAUUUUGAUGACAAGUAAUUCCGGACGGAGGGAGUACUUG
rnacentral:pre_miRNA from 1 species